CACUCGCUCUAAUCGAUGAAAGGAAAGUCUACGGCUGGGGGUCGAACACUUAUAGACAAUUGAAUCUGAAUAACAGAGUUGUCCUAAUUUGAUCUCCUAUCAAGAUAAACAUAGAUAAUGUAAAAAAAGUAUCGGACAUCGCUGUCAUUAAUUACAAAAGCUUUGUCAAGUCUAGCAUGGGACAUAUCUACAUGUGAGGCUUUAUUUUUAAUGUACCAAUUAAAAAACUUGUCUGUGAAUGUACGAACGCAUUUGACAUAUGUGACUCGAUGAUAGCUCAUUCACCAAUGUCCGUGGCCUGUGAAUUCAUAAAUGAAGAAUUUCACAUAUUAAAUGAUUUGAAAACUGCAUUCAACGAUCAGAUCUUUUGCAAUUGGCAGAUAAAGUCUGCCUGAAAAAUCUCCAGAUAAAUUGUACAGGAACAAUAAAAAAAACAAUUACUGUAUCAAAUGUCAUACACUUCUUUAACCUUAUCAACAAAAUGGCGGAACAUUACAGGAAGGAAUUGAUAAAAUAUUGCUUCAACUUCUAUUUUAAAAGCAUGACAAAUGUAAUACGGACAGAAGGUUCUCAACAAUUGGAUGUCGCAACAAAGGCUAUGUUUAUAGAUAAAG